GAAUCUUUUGACUCAGACAUCAAUAAUGCUUGUUUGCCACACCAACGUGAGUUCCCGGAUGACACCGAGUAGGAUGCAUAAUUUCCAUUGGUUUCAUUGUGUUCUUUCCAAAGAAAUCUGAACAUUUUUAGCUGGUUCCUAACUUUCACGACAUCCUUUUGUAAGGUACUGAACUACUUGCCAUUAGCUGUUGGUGAUGUGGAUUCAAACAGUCCACAAUUAUUUUGCUGAGUUUGGAUAAAAUUGUACGUAUGAUUUGUAUUUUUUUCAUGUUUGUAAUAUGCUUGGGACAGUCCGUAUUAUUCACAACAUGGCUUACAUAUGCAGGAUUAGUGGCAAUAUUUUACUCUCAGAAAAUAAAUGUUUAUUAUUGGAUAAUGUACUUAGAAUUAUUUGCAACACGCCAAUGCGGGCGAAUAGUUUUGUACUAUCAACUGCAACAAGAUGUUCCGGGUAUCUACAUCCUCCCCUUCAUUACUACUCCGUACUAUAUAGUCCUAUCAAUGGGAAAAUGAAGUGCAGAAAAGUCUGCAACAAGAUAUACUCUGUUAUCUACCUUGUUAUUUCAGUAAUUGAAUUCACGGGCUAAUGAAGUCUGAUAAUUUUUCUUGCGUGGACAUCAAAUCUUCACUUCGAUUUUGACUACAGGACUGACGACUUAAAGACCAUAACCCAAAUUUAGGUUCGGUUUUGCUUUCUCAGUUCAAUAGAGUGGCCCAAAGAACUGAUUUUGAAAUUUACACUACAACCUGAGCUCUAAGAGUGUUUGCAGGUCAUUGUUCAGACUGCAACAGUUUCGACAUCAUUAUCUGCAAUUAGAUUUGAUUUGGUGUGUCGCGGGGAAGAGGAGGCAGCGGCGCCGGUACGUAGCAGACUGGACUGAAGGCGGAGCAUCAGAGUACUCUGAUCUACCAGAGUGUCCGAUUGAUGCUGCCCACUGCUCUUGAUAUAUCAAGUAAACAGUUCGCUCGGAGUGAUUUAAAUUUAGUCUUCACGAACGGCGGCCCGGCCGUCCUCCCCAGGGCGGCUCGGGCGGCGACCCCUCCCCCCGGCCGAAACCCCCCUCCCGCUACUCCCUCCCGCCGCCGCCAAAAGCUCCUGCCGGGCAAAGCCCGCUCAGAUCUGGCGGCGGCGGGGCGUCAUUCUUUGCGCAGAGCGCCCCACGAGCCGGGGAGCUCUGUGUGGCGCGGGCGGCGCGGCGUGACUCCGACGCGCGUCACUUCUUCGAGCGCGGUGGCCGGGGACGGUGGGGGUGGGUGCGCUUGCGGUUCCCUCCCGCUGGCCUCCCUCGAACCGGCGACUCCCCGCUGCGUUGGCGCCCGGUGCUUCGGGGGCGUCGGGGAUCUGCUGGUUUUGGUUGGGGGUCCGGCGGAGGUGCUCUGUGAGGCGCGGGGUGGUGGUGCUCGCCCCUUGCCUGGGCGACGUGCCUGCCGGCCGCGGAUUUGGCUCCGAUCCGAUUGGGGGCGGGCGGGGCAUGUUGGAUCCUGCCGGAUCUGGCCUGCGGUGGACCGGAUCCGGUCAUGUGUGGCGGCGGGGCUGCAGUGGCCCUUCUCUGUGGCAAUGUGCAGGGGGCAGUGCUCCAUGACCUGUCGAUGCUUCUAGGAGGUGGUAUUCUCACUUGGGCGAAAGCUCUGCUCCUGCCGGAGCCGGCGACGGCGACGCCUGCGGGCGCCGUGUACCUCUGUGGAGGCGGCGCUGUCAUGGUGAGUGCUCCUCCGAAAACCUGGGGAAACCCAUGUUUCAGGUUCUCCUGGAACAGGUGAUGGCGGCGCAUUUUGUGUCGCAUCCCUUCUUGAAGGCAUCAUCUAGGUUCGGCUUGGUUCGUCUAUGUGGGGGCUGCUCGCUGUGGGUUCGAUGGUGGUGGUGGUGCGGCCAAUUUGGGGUCGACGGUGGUGUGUGCCUUGUUGGUGAGAAGGUGGUGCUCUGUCUGCGAGAUCGUGGCUCAGCCAUGCGCCGGAUUGGGUUUGAUUUUCAUCCGAAGCCGGGUUAGCAGGGUCGUUAUCCUACUCAAUGGAUCUCCUCGUUCCCAUAUGGCACCUCUACCUCUGCGGGGUGCUGUUGGGUGGCAACCAGCCGGCCAACGUUCAAGGCUCUUCUCCUUGCUUGGUCGGAUGAAGGUGUAAGUUGAGGUCCUCCUCCUUGCUGGUUGUGCUGAUGAUAUUUGGAAUGGCGGUCGGUGGUGUUGGUGCGUCCGGCUUCGGAUCUUCGAAAGGCCUUCUUCUGUGCCCUUUCCUCGGCGGGUCUUCCGGAGGUUCGGCUGGAUGUGUGCGUGCGUGUGUGUGUGUGUGUGUGUUUUUUGGUUGUGUCUCCUCUUGUUUCCCCCGUGUAUUCUGGUUCACUUGAACCUAUCUUGUAUGGAGCUGCGAGGCUUCUAGGCAAAUUCGAUGGAAUAUAUUCAGGUGGUUGAGGGGGGCCCCUCCUCCCCUGGUGAAAAUUAAAAAAAAAAAUAUCAGGUAAACACAGAUAAUGAUUAUUGCAGCCAUGAACCUGUUGAGUCUAUAUUUCAUCCCAUCUUCAUGCACGUGGUAGUCCCGCCUUUGCAGGGCCUUGAUAUAUUUGCAAUGGAUUAAGCAAAGGGCCUCUGUUGAUUCACUCGUGUUCUCAUUUGAAACUAUUUGAGAUGUGAAUCUUGAAUUUUAUGUUCUUAUAAUUUCUUAGCAGAUUGAUUAGGACUGAUUUGGUUUCUAUUUUGUUUGGGCAAGUGGAACAGCUUGCGAAGCUUUACACUAAUUCACGGACUCACUAUGUAGCAAUUAAAGGGUGAUUGAUAGUUCCAACUUUUACUGUUAUAACUUCGGUUAUUACCUUUUCCAAUAUAUGCAUAUUUAAUAUUUCUCUCUGCACAUCAUUUAAGCAGGUGGUUCCAUUUGAGACAUUUAGGAAGAGUACGGUCUUUUCAGAUUUUAAUUGAUAUCUAUAUUGUUUCUUUCAUAUAAUGGGCAAGUGUGGAAACCAAUGCUAAUAGAAGGCAUGCAUUGCACAUGUAUUGUCUUAUUAACCGUGCACAUUUUGGAGCAUGAUAAUUGUCAAAUGGAUUGUCUAACAAUACUGAGGAGACCUGCAUGUCUGUCUAGAUUCUUAAUAUGGAACCAAUAGAUGAUGGAUGGCCAUUUUUUGCAACAUCUGACUGAGGAAUAAUGGUACAAUUGAUAAGACAAGGGCUGGACUUCCCUCCGCAACAAUCUUCUUUGCUCAAGUAAUUCAAGUUAAAAUCACUGCAGGGAGACCUUUUAUCGGAAAAUUCUUGAUGGACCAGGACAUGGAUUUUGGCUCCCGAGCUAAGAAAAAAGUGGCGGGGUCGGCUUCUUGAAGAAUACUGACCGACGGAGAUGCAGGGGAGAACUAGGACCUGCAAAUCCUUUGCAAUGGAGAUUGAGGCUUAUCUGAUUCAAGGUGAAUAGGCACAAUGUCAAAGGGCGGUUCCGAAGAUUUCACAUGAGGCGUGGUGUGGAGAGGAGAAUUUGAAUGUUCUUGAGCCUAAUAGUCACCAUGAAUUCUUGAUUUUCGGGCAUCUCUAAUAUCCACAUGCUCGCUUUCUUUACCUGCAACUUCUUCAGUUUCUGUAGGGUGAGGCGAUGAUAACAUAAGAGCAGUGUCAUCAAAGGUGAAAAUUUCUUCAUCCAUCUUUUCAUAGGGGGAAUCUUGGGGUUUUCUUCAUAUUUUGCCCCAAACGGCCGACACAAGCGGUGGCAUUGAGGCCAACGGCGGAAAAAGGUUUGGCUCAUUUAUAGUGACAUUGUCACUUUGCUUCUUCUUCGUUGGCUUCUCAACAGGUUCUGAAGCCUUCUAUUUUUAGCUUCACUCUCUGGAGCCUUACUUUUCUUCGACAAGGAAGCGUAGGGAAGUGUUGACUUCUUCAAAGGAGGCGGAGUGGAAAGCUUCGUAGAUGAAGAACUUGCCUUCUCAGUAGCCGGGGCAAGGGGCACGUUCUUUCUGUUUGGAAACGUACUAGAAAACAAAAUGCGCCUACUAAUCAUCCCAUCGUCACUAUGAAGAUGCAAGUGCGAUUGGAUCUAGAUUAGAUUGCUUACCAAUGUAAAUGUGAUAGAGAGGAGACUUUGUGAGGCGUGUUGAUACAUAUUUCCACAACUAGGUUAUACCUCCCAGCAGUGAGAAUUAGUCCAUCAAAA